rnacentral:rRNA from 1 species
CGGCAGGGCGGCAGCUACACAUGCAGUCGAACGGUAACAGGAAGAAGCUUGCUUCUUUGCUGACGAGUGGCGGACGGGUGAGUAAUGUCUGGGAAACUGCCUGAUGGAGGGGGAUAACUACUGGAAACGGUAGCUAAUACCGCAUAACGUCGCAAGACCAAAGAGGGGGACCUUCGGGCCUCUUGCCAUCGGAUGUGCCCAGAUGGGAUUAGCUAGUAGGUGGGGUAACGGCUCACCUAGGCGACGAUCCCUAGCUGGUCUGAGAGGAUGACCAGCCACACUGGAACUGAGACACGGUCCAGACUCCUACGGGAGGCAGCAGUGGGGAAUAUUGCACAAUGGGCGCAAGCCUGAUGCAGCCAUGCCGCGUGUAUGAAGAAGGCCUUCGGGUUGUAAAGUACUUUCAGCGGGGAGGAAGGGAGUAAAGUUAAUACCUUUGCUCAUUGACGUUACCCGCAGAAGAAGCACCGGCUAACUCCGUGCCAGCAGCCGCGGUAAUACGGAGGGUGCAAGCGUUAAUCGGAAUUACUGGGCGUAAAGCGCACGCAGGCGGUUUGUUAAGUCAGAUGUGAAAUCCCCGGGCUCAACCUGGGAACUGCAUCUGAUACUGGCAAGCUUGAGUCUCGUAGAGGGGGGUAGAAUUCCAGGUGUAGCGGUGAAAUGCGUAGAGAUCUGGAGGAAUACCGGUGGCGAAGGCGGCCCCCUGGACGAAGACUGACGCUCAGGUGCGAAAGCGUGGGGAGCAAACAGGAUUAGAUACCCUGGUAGUCCACGCCGUAAACGAUGUCGACUUGGAGGUUGUGCCCUUGAGGCGUGGCUUCCGGAGCUAACGCGUUAAGUCGACCGCCUGGGGAGUACGGCCGCAAGGUUAAAACUCAAAUGAAUUGACGGGGGCCCGCACAAGCGGUGGAGCAUGUGGUUUAAUUCGAUGCAACGCGAAAACCUUACCUGGUCUUGACAUCCACAGAACUUUCAGAGAUGAAAUGUGCCUUCGGGACUGUGAGACAGUGCUGCAUGGCUGUCGUCAGCUCGUGUGUGAAUGUGGGUAGUCCGCACGAGCGCACCCUUAUCUUUGUGCAGCGGUCGGCGGACUCAAGGAGACUGCAGUGAUAACUGGAGGAAGGUGGGGAUGACGUCAGUCAUCAUGCCUUACGACCAGGCUACACACGGCUCAUGGGCCAUACAAAGAGAACGACUCGGAGACAGCGACCAUAAUGCGCUGUGAUCAGGAUUGAUUGCACUCACCUUGAUCGGAUCUCUAAUCCGAUCAAUGGCCGGCAAUUUCGGCGCGUGUUAAUACAGC